CUAAAUACUCCUGACUGACCGAUAGUGAACCAGUACCGUGAGGGAAAGGCGAAAAGAACCCCGGCGAGGGGAGUGAAAAAGAACCUGAAACCGUGUACGUACAAGCAGUGGGAGCACGCUUAGGCGUGUGACUGCGUACCUUUUGUAUAAUGGGUCAGCGACUUAUAUUCUGUAGCAAGGUUAACCGAAUAGGGGAGCCGAAGGGAAACCGAGUCUUAACUGGGCGUUAAGUUGCAGGGUAUAGACCCGAAACCCGGUGAUCUAGCCAUGGGCAGGUUGAAGGUUGGGUAACACUAACUGGAGGACCGAACCGACUAAUGUUGAAAAAUUAGCGGAUGACUUGUGGCUGGGGGUGAAAGGCCAAUCAAACCGGGAGAUAGCUGGUUCUCCCCGAAAGCUAUUUAGGUAGCGCCUCGUGAAUUCAUCUCCGGGGGUAGAGCACUGUUUCGGCAAGGGGGUCAUCCCGACUUACCAACCCGAUGCAAACUGCGAAUACCGGAGAAUGUUAUCACGGGAGACACACGGCGGGUGCUAACGUCCGUCGUGAAGAGGGAAACAACCCAGACCGCCAGCUAAGGUCCCAAAGUCAUGGUUAAGUGGGAAACGAUGUGGGAAGGCCCAGACAGCCAGGAUGUUGGCUUAGAAGCAGCCAUCAUUUAAAGAAAGCGUAAUAGCUCACUGGUCGAGUCGGCCUGCGCGGAAGAUGUAACGGGGCUAAACCAUGCACCGAAGCUGCGGCAGCGACGCUUAUGCGUUGUUGGGUAGGGGAGCGUUCUGUAAGCCUGUGAAGGUGUGCUGUGAGGCAUGCUGGAGGUAUCAGAAGUGCGAAUGCUGACAUAAGUAACGAUAAAGCGGGUGAAAAGCCCGCUCGCCGGAAGACCAAGGGUUCCUGUCCAACGUUAAUCGGGGCAGGGUGAGUCGACCCCUAAGGCGAGGCCGAAAGGCGUAGUCGAUGGGAAACAGGUUAAUAUUCCUGUACUUGGUGUUACUGCGAAGGGGGGACGGAGAAGGCUAUGUUGGCCGGGCGACGGUUGUCCCGGUUUAAGCGUGUAGGCUGGUUUUCCAGGCAAAUCCGGAAAAUCAAGGCUGAGGCGUGAUGACGAGGCACUACGGUGCUGAAGCAACAAAUGCCCUGCUUCCAGGAAAAGCCUCUAAGCAUCAGGUAACAUCAAAUCGUACCCCAAACCGACACAGGUGGUCAGGUAGAGAAUACCAAGGCGCUUGAGAGAACUCGGGUGAAGGAACUAGGCAAAAUGGUGCCGUAACUUCGGGAGAAGGCACGCUGAUAUGUAGGUGAAGCGACUUGCUCGUGGAGCUGAAAUCAGUCGAAGAUACCAGCUGGCUGCAACUGUUUAUUAAAAACACAGCACUGUGCAAACACGAAAGUGGACGUAUACGGUGUGACGCCUGCCCGGUGCCGGAAGGUUAAUUGAUGGGGUCAGCGCAAGCGAAGCUCUUGAUCGAAGCCCCGGUAAACGGCGGCCGUAACUAUAACGGUCCUAAGGUAGCGAAAUUCCUUGUCGGGUAAGUUCCGACCUGCACGAAUGGCGUAAUGAUGGCCAGGCUGUCUCCACCCGAGACUCAGUGAAAUUGAACUCGCUGUGAAGAUGCAGUGUACCCGCGGCAAGACGGAAAGACCCCGUGAACCUUUACUAUAGCUUGACACUGAACAUUGAGCCUUGAUGUGUAGGAUAGGUGGGAGGCUUAGAAGUGUGGACGCCAGUCUGCAUGGAGCCGACCUUGAAAUACCACCCUUUAAUGUUUGAUGUUCUAACGUUGACCCGUAAUCCGGGUUGCGGACAGUGUCUGGUGGGUAGUUUGACUGGGGCGGUCUCCUCCUAAAGAGUAACGGAGGAGCACGAAGGUUGGCUAAUCCUGGUCGGACAUCAGGAGGUUAGUGCAAUGGCAUAAGCCAGCUUGACUGCGAGCGUGACGGCGCGAGCAGGUGCGAAAGCAGGUCAUAGUGAUCCGGUGGUUCUGAAUGGAAGGGCCAUCGCUCAACGGAUAAAAGGUACUCCGGGGAUAACAGGCUGAUACCGCCCAAGAGUUCAUAUCGACGGCGGUGUUUGGCACCUCGAUGUCGGCUCAUCACAUCCUGGGGCUGAAGUAGGUCCCAAGGGUAUGGCUGUUCGCCAUUUAAAGUGGUACGCGAGCUGGGUUUAGAACGUCGUGAGACAGUUCGGUCCCUAUCUGCCGUGGGCGCUGGAGAACUGAGGGGGGCUGCUCCUAGUACGAGAGGACCGGAGUGGACGCAUCACUGGUGUUCGGGUUGUCAUGCCAAUGGCACUGCCCGGUAGCUAAAUGCGGAAGAGAUAAGUGCUGAAAGCAUCUAAGCACGAAACUUGCCCCGAGAUGAGUUCUCCCUGACUCCUUGAGAGUC
rnacentral:rRNA from 1 species